UCCUACGGGAGGCAGCAGUGGGGAAUCUUAGACAAUGGGGGCAACCCUGAUCUAGCCAUGCCGCGUGAGUGAUGAAGGCCUUAGGGUCGUAAAGCUCUUUCGCCAGGGAUGAUAAUGACAGUACCUGGUAAAGAAACCCCGGCUAACUCCGUGUCAGCAGCCGCGGUAAUACGGAGGGGGUUAGCGUUGUUCGGAAUUACUGGGCGUAAAGCGCACGUAGGCGGAUCGGAAAGUUGGGGGUGAAAUCCCAGGGCUCAACCCUGGAACUGCCUCCAAAACUAUCAGUCUAGAGUUCGAGAGAGGUGAGUGGAAUUCCGAGUGUAGAGGUGAAAUUCGUAGAUAUUCGGAGGAACACCAGUGGCGAAGGCGGCUCACUGGCUCGAUACUGACGCUGAGGUGCGAAAGUGUGGGGAGCAAACAGGAUUAGAUACCCUGGUAGUCCACACCGUAAACGAUGAAUGCCAGUCGUCGGGUAGUAUACUAUUCGGUGACACACCUAACGGAUUAAGCAUUCCGCCUGGGGAGUACGGUCGCAAGAUUAAAACUCAAAUGAAUUGACGGA
rnacentral:rRNA from 1 species